CAGUCGCCGCGGUAAUACAGAGGGUGCGAGCGUUAAUCGGAUUUACUGGGCGUAAAGCGUGCGUAGGCGGCUUCUUAAGUCGGAUGUGAAAUCCCUGAGCUUAACUUAGGAAUUGCAUUCGAUACUGGGAAGCUAGAGUAUGGGAGAGGAUGGUAAAAUUCCAGGUGUAGCGGUGAAAUGCGUAGAGAUCUGGAGGAAUACCGAUGGCGAAGGCAGCCAUCUGGCCUAAUACUGACGCUGAGGUACGAAAGCAUGGGGAGCAAACAGGAUUAGAUACCCCUGUAGUCCCUGUCUCUUAUAC
rnacentral:rRNA from 1 species